AGGUCUGUCGCGAGCAACCCCACACCAUGCACCAACGCCACUGCUCCCAGCAGGAGUGAGUUUUGCAGUAGUGGCGGCAGCCCCGCGCCCAGGCCGAGCAGAGUCAGGGCCGCCAGCGCCGUGAGCAGCAAGGGGAAGGGCAGGUUGUAGAGCACCAAGCCCCCACGAACGCCCAGCCGCGCCUGCGAGCCAUAAGGGUCGUGUGGUUGGCAAGUCAUUUAACUUUUCCAAGCAAAUCUGCAAAAUGGAGAUAACAGCACCUGCCUCAUUGGGUUGUGAAGAAGAUGGAAUGUUUAGCAUGGUGCCCAACACCCAGUUCUCAUUCUGUCAUCCAGGCUGGUGUGCAGUGGUGCAAUGAGUGCUCACUGCAGCCUUGACCUCCAGGUCAAGGGAUUUCCCACCUCAACCUCCAGAAUCGCUGGGACUACAGCUCAACAAUGCCCCCCUUAAAGUCGGACUCUUGGAAAUGAACCUCGUUGGGAGUAAAGCUGAACCUGCACCUCUCCUUUCCAGGACUCUCCUCCAUUCAUACGGCCUCACACUGAAUUAAUGUUUCUAGCCGCCACAUCAUGUUACCCAACUGAUCUAGUAGUAAGGUGUUCCCAUCUCUU